rnacentral:rRNA from 1 species
GACGAACGCUGGCGGCGUGCUUAACACAUGCAAGUCGAACGGAAAGGCCCUGCUUUUGUUGGGUGCUCGAGUGGCGAACGGGUGAGUAACACGUGAGUAACCUUCCCUUGACUUUUGGAUAACUUCAGGAAACUGGGGCUAAUACCGGAUAGGAGCUCCUGCUGCAUGGUGGGGGUUGGAAAGUUUCGGCGGUUGGGGAUGGACUCGCGGCUUAUCAGCUUGUUGGUGGGGUAGUGGCUUACCAAGGCUUUGACGGGUAGCCGGCCUGAGAGGGUGACCGGACACAUUGGGACUGAGAUACGGCCCAGACUCAUACGGGAGGCAGCAGUGGGGAAUAUUGCACAAUGGGCGGAAGCCUGAUGCAGCAACGCCGCGUGCGGGAUGACGGCCUUCGGGUUGUAACCCGCUUUCGCCUGUGACGAAGCGUGAGUGACGGUAAUGGGUAAAGAAGCACCGGCUAACUACGUG